rnacentral:lncRNA from 1 species
AGCUGAUUCAAAAGAUCAAGUGGUAUUUAUGUCUAAUAAUGACAUAAUCUUCUAUUGUUUGUCCUCAUGUGUCUGUUUUUCAGCAUAAAGUACUCUGUAGCCACUUAGUGUGGACACCAGCUGUGUUGGUGAACCCCUCCCGCAUCUGAACUGGCUGACACAGAGGGCACAGCAUGAUCAUAGGUAUGUUUUGAUGUGAGAGAGGAAGCCAGUCCCGUCAUCGCCACCUCACCCGCUCUGAAGAUAACCUUCGGGCCAACUGGGGGCCCAAGGCUGGUUAGGAGACACCGCUAGAGACACUGUAAUUGUGAUUAACUGAGAGAAUAUUAGGGUAGCACUGUAAUUCAUUUAAUCAUAUGCUGUCUGCCUCUGUUCUUACCCCUUUCCCUUUCUGUCUUCUACACCUCUCUCCCCAC